rnacentral:rRNA from 1 species
CCUACGGGGGGCAGCAGUCGGGAAUAUUGCACAAUGGAGGAAACUCUGAUGCAGUGACGCCGCGUGCAGGAAGAAGGUUUUCGGAUUGUAAACUGCUUUAGAUGGGGAAGAAAAAAGACUGUACCCAUAGAAUAAGCUCCGGCUAACUACGUGCCAGCAGCCGCGGUAAUACGUAGGGAGCAAGCGUUAUCCGGAUUUAUUGGGUGUAAAGGGUGCGUAGACGGGAAUUUAAGUUAGUUGUGAAAUCCCUCGGCUUAACUGAGGAACUGCAACUAAAACUGAAUUUCUUGAGUGCGGGAGAGGAA